GGCCUGAUGGUCUAGUAGUAUGAUUCCUUGUUAGGGAUUUCGGGAGUUGAACCCAAAUCACAUUAUCGAGGAGGUCCCGGGUUCAAUUCCCGGUCAGGCCC